UACGGAGGGGGCUAGCGUUGUUCGGAAUUACUGGGCGUAAAGAGCGCGCAGGCGGUCGUUCAAGUCGCGUGUGAAAGCCCCCGGCUCAACUGGGGAGGGUCACGCGAUACUGAUCGACUGGAAGGCAGGAGAGGGUAGUGGAAUUCCCGGUGUAGUGGUGAAAUGCGUAGAUAUCGGGAGGAACACCAGUGGCGAAGGCGACUACCUGGCCUGUUCUUGACGCUGAGGAGCGAAAGCGUGGGGAGCGAACAGG
rnacentral:rRNA from 1 species